rnacentral:misc_RNA from 1 species
AUUUUGCGUGAGGGAUAGUAGCGGAUACCCCGCAGCGUAGCCGCGAAGCGAAGCGGAGCGGCAAAGCGAGGAGUAGAAGCGGAUAGCCCGACGCUAA